GAACGCGAAGAACCUUACCUACCCUUGACAUCCUGCGAAUCCCGAUGAGAGUUGGGAGUGCCGCAAGGAACGCAGAGACAGGUGCUGCAUGGCUGUCGUCAGCUCGUGUUGUGGGAUGUUGGGUUAAGUCCCGUAACGAGCGCAACCCUUGUCCUUAGUUGCCAUCAUUUAGUUGGGGACUCUAAGGAGACUGCCGGUGAUGAACCGGAGGAAGGCGGGGACGACGUCAAGUCAUCAUGGCCUUUAUGGGUAGGGCUACACACGUGCUACAAUGGGGCGUACAGAGGGUCGCCAACCCGCGAGGGGGAGCCAAUCUCUUAAAGCGUCUCGUAGUCCGGAUCGGAGUCUGCAACUCGACUCCGUGAAGUCGGAAUCGCUAGUAAUCGCGAAUCAGCAUUGUCGCGGUGAAUACGUUCCCGGGUCUUGUACACACC
rnacentral:rRNA from 1 species